UACAGAGGUCCCAAGCGUUGUUCGGAUUCAUUGGGCGUAAAGGGUGCGUAGGCGGCGGGGUAAGUCAGGUGUGAAAUCUCGGGGCUCAACCCCGAAACUGCACUUGAUACUGCCUCGCUUGAGUACUGGAGAGGAGACUGGAAUUUACGGUGUAGCAGUGAAAUGCGUAGAUAUCGUAAGGAAGACCAGUGGCGAAGGCGAGUCUCUGGACAGUUACUGACGCUGAGGCACGAAGGCCAGGGGAGCAAACGGGG
rnacentral:rRNA from 1 species